GGAGAGGUACCGAAGUGGUUAUAACGGCACUGACUCGAAAUCAGAUGGUCGGCGAAAGUCGGCACGUGGGUUCGAAUCCCACCCUCUCCA
rnacentral:tRNA from 1 species